GUUUAUGGCCACACCACCCUGCAUACACCUGAUCUUGUCUGGUCUUGAAAGCCAAGCAGGGUUGGGUGUGGUUAGUGCUUGGAUGGGAGACAUUGAACACAAAUUUAUAUAAUUAUAAAUU
rnacentral:rRNA from 1 species